rnacentral:lncRNA from 1 species
CUAGGCUCUGUGUAACCCCUGGUUUGAGCACUUCGGCUCCAGAUUUGGUCUGUUUUCAGCUUUCCUUUUGAAUCUUUUGUUUUCUGGUCUUUGGUGGCAGCUGUUAUCAUUCCAGCUGUAGAGGAAUGGGAGGCAACUUCCUGUUAUUCUAUCCUGCCAUCUCCACGGGGGUGGACAUUCCCUCCCCCUCCUGUGCCUGGCUGUGGUUUAGGAAGAGCUGGAGUCUGAGGCAGGCCCAUCCCAUUCCCAGGGUUGGAGGAGUGGCCGGGAGCUUCUGGAAGGGCAGCUGGGGGCAAGGCAGACUACAGGCUCCGGCACCGACUGCUUGAAGCCAAGCGGAGGCCGGGGUGGCAGAGGGAGCUAAGUCUCGACAGAGGACAAAAGCCUUACCUGGACCUUCCUGGAAAAAGGGACAAUCCAGUUACACCGGCCCAUCCAUCCCUGAGUUUCUAUAAUGGACGGUGGGUUCCCAGGACAGAGGGAUGAAGGACAUAGAAACAGUUCAGUUCCCAGCUCUUACUUCAUAGCUGCCAGUCCAUUAACUCCAACGCCAGUAACUGCCAGUGGAAGCCAGUGCUUCCAUCCUCCGUG